rnacentral:misc_RNA from 1 species
GGCUUCUUCAGUCUCAAAUUUGGACAACUUUACAAAUGCUAAUCCCAGUUCUCCCAUUGUCUCUCCAAUGUCUUGCUGAGCUUUCACAAGUGAUUCAGCCUGUUGAGAGACAUCGCUAAGUUGCUGUUCAAUGUCCAUUAAUUUCCCUUUCUUCUCCAAAAACUCCUUGUCUUCUUCCACCACCAUCGGCUUUGCCCCAACCCAAUCGUUUGCCAUUGAUUGCUUCAACUCCUUGAAGAUUCUC